rnacentral:rRNA from 1 species
GACGGAGGAUGCAAGCGUUAUCCGGAAUCAUUGGGCGUAAAGCGUCCGCAGGUGGCAGUUCAAGUCUGCUGUCAAAGACCGGGGCUUAACUUCGGAAAGGCAGUGGAAACUGAACAGCUAGAGUAUGGUAGGGGCAGAGGGAAUUCCUGGUGUAGCGGUGAAAUGCGUAGAGAUCAGGAAGAACAUCGGUGGCGAAGGCGCUCUGCUGGACCAUAACUGACACUCAGGGACGAAAGCUAGGGGAGCGAAUGGG